UCGCUUACGCUGAGAGCUGUAGACUGU
rnacentral:piRNA from 1 species